CCACCCUGCAGGUGGUUAGAGAGGUGAGGACCAGCAGGACCGUGUUGUAGAUCAGAACCAGGCCCACUGGGAGGAGAAAAGCCCAGAACAUGGGUUUCCCAAAGCUGAAGUGUUUGUCCAGGUCCAGAGCGGCGAGCCAGCAGCUGCAGCAUGAAAACACAGCAGAUCAAACAUCUGUUCAGCAUCAAAAGGGCUUCACAGUGGAGCUGAAGAGAUGAGGAUUCAGAACCGACUCACAACUCCUCCUGUCUGUAUCCCAGAGGGUUCUCCACCCUGUAGGUCGCUGCCAGUGUGAUCACCAUGACAACGGCUGGGACUCCUAACAGAAAGCAAAACAAACUGAAGCAACGGCCUGAAAAAGAACAGGGGGUUGGUUCCUGAGGGGUCGGCCCACUACAUGACCCACUGAUCGGGUAUGAAGUAUAGAACCAUUUUUCUUCACAACAGUGCAUGGAGAUGUCUGCUUACCUCUGAGUUGUGUUGCUCUCCUCCAUCUCUUGGGACUUUGUGGCAUUGAGCAGCUGGCUGACGGUAGCGACGGCUGCCACCCUGACAGACUGCAAACAAGAACCAGAACUCUGAAAAUGUCUACCUCAGAGGUGUUUGGAGACAGCAGCAGCGUGUUGGCGAUCUGAGCUGCUACUGUGAUGUUUUCAGCUGUCAGGUCUCCAGGUCUGGAGGUCAGAAGCUGAGUGCUGGAUGCCAGUAUCUCCAGGUCUGCUAGACUGGUCAGCUGAAGAACAAAAAGAGAACCUCAUUAUGAACUUUUCAGUUCCUCUGAUUAAAUUGUUCAUGUA